rnacentral:tRNA from 1 species
AUCUUUAGCUCAGUUGGUUAGAGCAACCGGCUCAUAACCGGUCGGUCGUAGGUUCGAGUCCUACAAGAUCC